ACCACUGACGUGGCAUCCGUCAUUGAACAGGAAUGAUAUUUAUCUAAUUUCUCAAUUUUUUGAGCUUUUUCUUCUUUAUUUUAGGAUUCAUCCAUCCCGAAAAGGCGGAGCAUUCACAAUUUCCUGAGCCGUUUCAAACCAACACGUUUCAGAGCAAAUUCCCCAAACCGUUUCAGACCAGCACGUUUCAGAGCAAUUAUUCCACCGCUUCAAUUGCGAUCACUUAAAGCAAAAAAUGAAACAACAAGGCGGAUUCAAUUUCAAUGGUGCUUUAUUAUUUCCAUUACCUUCUUAAUCCGCAACUACCAGUCCUUGAUUUCCAAUGAAUCAUAUCUCAAGCUCGGAUACACACCGAUGAUUACAAAUCCCUUACUGUUCGACAUGGGUAAUUCUUUUCACUACCUAACCCUAAUCCCCUCUUAUUUUAUUUCUUUAAAAUUUUCUUGGUUAUAUACUUAUGAUAAUUGAAACGCAUGAAUUGAAUAUUGUUUGUUACUCUUUUGGAUUGUGCAGUAUUGUGAUUACAUUCACUUCCAGCAUCCAAGAAAAUUUCUGGUUCUCUUAAAUAUUUCUCAAUUAAUGUAAAGAUGAGGAUAACGAGAGUUAUUUUGCAGUAUUGUGAUUGCAUUCACUUCCAGCAUCCAAAAAAAUUUCUGGUUUUCUCUUAAAUAUUUCUCAAUUAAUAUAAAGAUGAGGAUAACGAGAGUUAUUUUGCAGUAUUGUGAUUACAUUCACUUCCAGCAUCCAAGAAAAUUUCUGGUUUUCUCUUAAAUAUUUCUCAAUUAAUGUAAGAUGAGGAUAACGAGAGCUAUAGUAGUAUGGUUGAGGAAACAUAAUCAAGCUAUUGUGGGUUAUUAUAACUGAGUUUGUUUUGCAGAUAUCAUUUGAAUGGUAAAGGUUUUUCUGAUAUUAUUGUUUGAGACACUUGUGGUGGUGCUAAAGAGCAGUUUCACUACAAAUAUUUCAAUUAUUAAUGCAGGAGAUGGUCCUAAAAAACAUCCAGCUCAGAUGAAGCCUUUAGUGUUCUUUAAGGUGUUCUGAGUGAGGAGUGUACCGAUGCCUCUACUCAGUUGUUAUCACACUCUUUAGACAAUAAAAUUUGAGGAAAAAAAGAUGUCCAGCCACAACCUUUUUGCACCUGCUAUUGAUUUGGACUGGUCUAACCUGCAAAGAAGAUAUUGAUUAAGUCGUUGAUUAGCUCCGAUUUUGAGAGGCUGAACAUCCAUUUUGGAACGGAGAAGUUUAUUUUUCAAGAAUGGAGAAGUUUGCCCUUUAUAGUUCAUUAAUAAUGUUAUUUUGUUAUUCAAAUUGUAAGUGUGUGUGUGUAUAUAUAUAUAUAUAUAUAUAUAUAUGAGAUCAUUUCCUCUUUCUAAUACAGUGGGAUUACAUAAUCGAAAAAACAUAUAUAUUUUUUGUUUUGUAACUAGCAAUUGAAGGUAAGAGAAACUUUUUGACUAUUGUGCAAUAUGUAUAAUGCAAGUAAAAGAAUAAUGCAAACAUGUUUUUUUAAGUAAGAGAUCAAAUCGUCGAUGUAGCAUAGUAUCAUUCUUCGAAAUUGAAUAUGCGUUUUCUAUAUUGUUAUUUUCUGAAACAGAGAGAUUGGAUUGUAUGUUUAUUUUCGCUUUUCCUGUAUCCUUUAUCUAGGUGAAAAGUUAUCUCAAUAAAAAAAUAUCAUUCGAGAAUUAUACGAAUUGAAAAAACAAAGAAGAUUCUAUGAGAGGAAUUCUCUCUAACAUUAUGUGAUGUGAAUCUAUAUCUAUAUAUUAAUAUAAAGCAGGGAAUAGCAAAAGUGAUGUGGCAUAUCUCAAAUUCCAAGAGACCUAUUUAUCUUUUUUCUCAUUUAUUUGCAAUUUUCUCCUUAUUAUUUAUAUAAUAUAUAAAACUCAAUUCAACUUCUGUUUGAAAAAUCAGAAGUCACAACCGUUACUAAAAGUCACAUACUUACAAACGAUUCCCAUUAAUUAGGAAUACCAAAAGCCACAACAGUUUUGUAACGGUGCAUAAUCUUUGUAACGAUGCAUACAAAGAUCAGCUUCACUUUAAAGCAUUGAUCCAAUCACAGAAACGCCGUACUCCAACAAAACAGAACAGAUGUUAUUUAUAUUAUAGUAGUUGUUUCUCUUUUUCUCUCUUAAUCUUUUUGUUUGAAUUUAAUAUUGUCUUCCUCAGAAUAUGCUCACAAUUUUCUUGGAACGUACUCAAGAUAUGCUUCAUUUUUUCGUAGAUUUGACUUAUUUACCUUCCUUAGGAAAGAUCAGAAAAGGAAAACGCUUCUGCAAUGUAAUUUUGUGUUCUUA